UUCAACAUACACACAGACCCCCAUUUUUCUUCUUUUCUUCUUCACUCACAAUCUCACACACAGGAAAAUUUCCAUAGGAACACACACUCCUUACCAAUGAGCCACGCCAUUUUUCUGAAGAACGCACACCACUACAUACUCACGGAUAUACUCCAUUAACACCAGGUACGCACAGCUCUACACACAUGACAUCACUCACAGACAAUUGAUUGAGAGAGGUAAGAAGAGAGAAAAACAAAUAGAGAAAGGAGGUUGAGAUCGAAGCAGCCAACAAAUCAAGGAGAGAGAGAGAAAAAUUCGACAAAACCCACAGAAAAAGCGUCAUCAGCUUCACUCCGAUCGAACUCACGUCGGAAGGCCAUUCUCCCCUUCGUUUUCUAGUUCAAAUCUCAUCGGAAUUCCAUCCGUAGCUCAAACGGAUACAAAAAUCUUGUUCUAGAUUCCAUUUUUUGGUCAGAUUUGAUUCAGUUUUGGGUUCGAGUUGAGGUCAUUGUUGGUUCAAGAUUGGCAUGGUUCCGGUCGAUGCUAUUUUUAUGAACUCGUGAGAUUGCUAAAGAAAUUUGGUUGAUUGAGGCAACAUUUGAGGUUCAAUUUUCAUCUCUUUCUUUAUAAUUUUGUCAAUCUUAUGUGAGUGAUGGUGUGAAUUGUUGAUAUGUUUUGAUUGUGUGUUUUUGAGCAAUUUUGAUUGUCACGGUGN
rnacentral:lncRNA from 1 species